GGCGGCGUACCCAAGUGGACUAAGGGGGCGGAUUGCAAAUCCGUUACCGUGGGUUCGAAUCCCACCGCCGCCU
rnacentral:tRNA from 1 species